rnacentral:tRNA from 1 species
GGGGGUUUAGCUCAGCGGCUAGAGCAGCGUCUUUGCAUGGCGUCGGUCGAGGGUUCGAGUCCCUCAACCUCCACCA